rnacentral:rRNA from 1 species
CGCUAGCUACAGGCUUAACACAUGCAAGUCGAGGGGCAGCAUGGUCUUAGCUUGCUAAGGCCGAUGGCGACCGGCGCACGGGUGAGUAACACGUAUCCAACCUGCCGUCUACUCUUGGACAGCCUUCUGAAAGGAAGAUUAAUACAAGAUGGCAUCAUGAGUCCGCAUGUUCACAUGAUUAAAGGUAUUCCGGUAGACGAUGGGGAUGCGUUCCAUUAGAUAGUAGGCGGGGUAACGGCCCACCUAGUCUUCGAUGGAUAGGGGUUCUGAGAGGAAGGUCCCCCACAUUGGAACUGAGACACGGUCCAAACUCCUACGGGAGGCAGCAGUGAGGAAUAUUGGUCAAUGGGCGAGAGCCUGAACCAGCCAAGUAGCGUGAAGGAUGACUGCCCUAUGGGUUGUAAACUUCUUUUAUAAAGGAAUAAAGUCGGGUAUGCAUACCCGUUUGCAUGUACUUUAUGAAUAAGGAUCGGCUAACUCCGUGCCAGCAGCCGCGGUAAUACGGAGGAUCCGAGCGUUAUCCGGAUUUAUUGGGUUUAAAGGGAGCGUAGAUGGAUGUUUAAGUCAGUUGUGAAAGUUUGCGGCUCAACCGUAAAAUUGCAGUUGAUACUGGAUAUCUUGAGUGCAGUUGAGGCAGGCGGAAUUCGUGGUGUAGCGGUGAAAUGCUUAGAUAUCACGAAGAACUCCGAUUGCGAAGGCAGCCUGCUAAGCUGCAACUGACAUUGAGGCUCGAAAGUGUGGGUAUCAAACAGGAUUAGAUACCCUGGUAGUCCACACGGUAAACGAUGAAUACUCGCUGUUUGCGAUAUACGGCAAGCGGCCAAGCGAAAGCGUUAAGUAUUCCACCUGGGGAGUACGCCGGCAACGGUGAAACUCAAAGGAAUUGACGGGGGCCCGCACAAGCGGAGGAACAUGUGGUUUAAUUCGAUGAUACGCGAGGAACCUUACCCGGGCUUAAAUUGCAGAUGAAUUACGGUGAAAGCCGUAAGCCGCAAGGCAUCUGUGAAGGUGCUGCAUGGUUGUCGUCAGCUCGUGCCGUGAGGUGUCGGCUUAAGUGCCAUAACGAGCGCAACCCUUGUUGUCAGUUACUAACAGGUUCCGCUGAGGACUCUGACAAGACUGCCAUCGUAAGAUGUGAGGAAGGUGGGGAUGACGUCAAAUCAGCACGGCCCUUACGUCCGGGGCUACACACGUGUUACAAUGGGGGGUACAGAGGGCCGCUACCACGCGAGUGGAUGCCAAUCCCCAAAACCUCUCUCAGUUCGGACUGGAGUCUGCAACCCGACUCCACGAAGCUGGAUUCGCUAGUAAUCGCGCAUCAGCCACGGCGCGGUGAAUACGUUCCCGGGCCUUGUACACACCGCCCGUCAAGCCAUGGGAGCCGGGGGUACCUGAAGUGCGUAACCGCGAGGAGCGCCCUAGGGUAAAACUGGUGA